GACGUAGGGCGCGAGCGUGUCCGGAUUUAUUGGGCGUAAAGAGCUCGUAGGCGGCUUGUCGCGUCGUUCGUGAAAACCUGCAGCUCAACUGCAGGCUUGCGGUCGAUACGGGCAGGCUAGAGUUCGGUAGGGGAGACUGGAAUUCCCAGUGUAGAGGUGAAAUUCGUAGAUAUUGGGAAGAACACCGGUGGCGAAGGCGGCUCUCUGGACCGAGACUGACGCUGAGGCGCGAAAGCGUGGGGGAGCAAACAGG
rnacentral:rRNA from 1 species